rnacentral:rRNA from 1 species
AUUGAACGCUGGCGGCAUGCCUUACACAUGCAAGUCGAACGGCAGCACGGGUGCUUGCACCUGGUGGCGAGUGGCGAACGGGUGAGUAAUAUAUCGGAACGUACCUUAUUGUGGGGGAUAACGCAGCGAAAGCUGUGCUAAUACCGCAUAACCCCUUAGGGGGAAAGCGGGGGACCGUAAGGCCUCGCGCAAUUAGAGCAGCCGAUACCUGAUUAGCUAGUUGGUGAGGUAAAGGCUCACCAAGGCGACGAUCAGUAGCUGGUCUGAGAGGACGAUCAGCCACACUGGGACUGAGACACGGCCCAGACUCCUACGGGAGGCAGCAGUGGGGAAUUUUGGACAAUGGGGCAACCCUGAUCCAGCAAUGCCGCGUGAGUGAAGAAGGCCUUCGGGUUGUAAAGCUCUUUUGUCAGGGAAGAAACAGCAGCUCUAACACAGUAUGCGAAUGACGGUACCUGAAGAAUAAGCACCGGCUAACUACGUGCCAGCCGCCGCCGUAA